rnacentral:tRNA from 1 species
UGGGUUGUAGCUCAGUGGUGGAGUGCUUGCCUGGCACAUGUGAAGCACUGGGUUCGAUUCUCAGCAGCACAU